rnacentral:lncRNA from 10 species
AGUCUGAGUCCUACCUCAGCCCCCACCUCACCUCCCUGCAUCCUCCUAGCAUCUCUGCAGGGCUAGCCCAGAGGUUGGCGGCGGAAGGCCCACAGCUCCCCUGGCUCCAUGGGCAAUGACCGAACAGCCCUUCACCUCUCUGGGCCUUGUUUUCUCAAACUGAAACUGGAGAGGAUGACCCCAGCCUGGGACCUUCGAGGGCCUCAAAAGGGCUCUGGGCCUUGCGUGGCUGGACGAUGAAUGUGAUGGCUGGAACUCAAGCAGCCACAGUGGAUCAUAAGGGACGGUGUCUUGCUAUGUUGUCCAAGCUGGUCUCAAACUGGCCUGAAUCAAUGCUUCCACCUCAGCUGCCAGAGGAACCGGGAUUACAGGCCUGAGCCACUGCAGCCAGCCAGUUUGUUAUUUUAAUGUAAAUUCUUAGUAAACAACUCAGGAGCUCUCUUGUCCUUUUAAAAUCCAUUUCAACUUCUGCUAAUCGGAGUGUAUAUUCAGGGCAACUUGAAUCUGUGCUCCUGGGAUGCAAUCCUCAAGCUUGGCCCAAAUAAAGUCUCCGCUGAUAUUAA